UACGUAGGGGGCGAGCGUUGUCCGGAUUUAUUGGGCGUAAAGAGCUCGUAGGCGGUUCGGUAAGUCGGGUGUGAAAACUCUGGGCUCAACCCAGAGCCGCCACCCGAUACUGCUGUGACUCGAGUGCGGUAGGGGAGCGGGGAAUUCCCGGUGUAGCAGUGAAAUGCGUAGAUAUCGGGAGGAACAUCUGUGGCGAAGGCGACACCCUGGACCAGCACUGACACUGAGGCACGAAAGCGUGGGGAGCAAACAGG
rnacentral:rRNA from 1 species